rnacentral:lncRNA from 1 species
GCUGCUAAGUGGACCCACCGUAGUCGUCAGCUCGGGCACGGUCGCCGGAGGAUGACGGGGCGAGGCGCGCUGCCGCUAGGUGGACUCCUAUGGCCGCCGGCGCGGGGCAAACCCGGGUGCAGCCACUGGAGGAGGCCGGUGCCGGGGCACGUUGCGGCCCGGCGGAUCCCGGUGCACCCGUCGGCAGAGGAGGACAGGGCCGGGGUGCGUGGAGGUGGC